rnacentral:rRNA from 3 species
UCUGGCAGCAGUAGCGCGGUGGUCCCACCUGACCCCAUGCCGAACUCAGAAGUGAAACGCCGUAGCGCCGAUGGUAGUGUGGGGUCUCCCCAUGCGAGAGUAGGGAACUGCCAGAC